GACGCUGCGGUACGUCUGUAAAGUCUAUAGUCACGUGACUCCGCUCCGUCCAAUCUGUAGUGUAGGAGACCAUGAGGUAGAGAAAAUGGAGGACGUUUCAAACGUUGGGACGGCGGCGAUUGCCCUGCAGAUGCAUCGUUUUCUGCUGGUUCCCUCUGAAGUGCUGGCUUUGCUCUUGGGGAUAACUGAAAGGUCAGAGACAAGAACAAUGAAGAACGUAAAUGACCACAAAUAUCCGUGUCCUUGAAGAAGACUCAGGAAAUGCCCGCAAAGUUUUCCUGUAAUUCCCAGAGAUCCCAUUUUUUAAAGCAUCCUUCUUCAUUCCUGCCCCGGCGUUGUCUCCGGUCCAGUCCGGUCUGGCCGCGAGUCGGAGCGAGAGGUCAGCCAUCCAGCCCAGAGUUACGACCCCCGGCCGGCGCUGGGUGAGGAAGAGGAGCGUGAGAGCCCAGUGACGGAGCUCCAGGCUUAUUCUGAAGGGACUGUUAAAGGAAACGGCUCCGGGUCCGUGACGAACAGCCGGGCCCGAAGGUCAACCUUCAAGGUUUCCUUUUGAAGGAUGUCGGUUCAUUCACCGAAACGCCAGGGAGGGGCUCCUGACGUCCGACGAGUCACCGCGGCCCGUUUCCUGUGUGAGACAGGAUGCUACUCCGACCACGAGCAGCCAAAUUUAAACUGGUCUGACUGGUUGUGUUGGGCGUUUGAGGCCUUUACCUUCGCUCACCGGUGUGGGAGCCGUAACCGUGUCCUGUUUCACACCGCCGCUGAAACAAUGCCCAUCUUUGUUCGGCCCAUUGUUGCUCCGCAGGUUGUGUGUGUGUGUGUGCGCGUGUGUGUGUGUGAGACUCCUCACCCAGGGCUGGGUUUUUACUAAAGCCGUGGGACUCUGUAAUUACAAAUUAGCAUCAGCAUUAAUAGGAUCUCAGGCUGUUAAAGCUGGAGCAGCUCAUGAAAAGCUGCGUUUAACCGCCUCAGAGGCGGCUGGUAAAAGCAGCGGUGACGGGAAAUGAAACGUGUUUGUUCAGAUCCUCAGGGUGACGCUGCUGCUGCUGCUGCUCUCGGCUCUGAGCCUCCGUGACCAGUUGACAUUAUUUAUGCGCAUGUUUCUGCCCGUAUUUAUUUAUGUCUCUGCCACAUUUAAACACGUUUAACCCA